AAUCAAACAAAUUAGUUAGUAAGGCUGUAAGAAUCCCAGGUAGGAAUUUAUGGAUUUCGAUUUUUUUAGUACCAAAGAAAUAUGGUUUUGGCUUUUUUUUUAUAUUUCUUAAAUUGUCGAGUCCCAGAAGAACUGUGGCGAGUAAAAGAGUAAGGAGUCGAUAGCUGCGGUUCGUAGAAUGAGGAGACAAGGUGAGCCAAGCCCCGACGAGACAAAAGGUGCCUCGAUGUAAUCGUGAAGGAGGUAAGCGAGAGAAAGCCACUCAGUUGCCUCUUAUGCGAGGGUCCCCAUAGGGUGUAAGAUUGCCCCACCAAGGCCAACUUGUCCGCAAUCGGGAAGACCUUGGAAGAGUCUGAAGCUGAUGGUAGUGGAAGUGACUGAGAGCUUCAAGUAAGUAGGCUUGGCAGUAUUCGAGUGGUAAAUGAUGCGCAUGACGUGGAGCUAUGAGUGUUAAGGUUGGGUGCCAUUCGAAGGUGUCCCAAAGCAGAGGACAAUCGGGCACCAAGGAAGAAUGUGAAACUGAGCGAGAAGAAGUCCAACCCUACUCCUGCAAAGGUGUAACGCAAGAAGUGGAGAGAGCGUCGGUAACAUGGAAGUGAAGGAACCGAGAGUGAAGGUUCCUAGAGUAGCAACAGUCAUGCAAAGCCGAGGGUAAAAGACUUGGCGCGGAGGCCCCGAAGAAGUGUUCUCGAAGAAGGUAUCAAUCAAAGAACCGAGAGCAUGUAUUGUGCUUAAAAUUACCUUUUUAUCCCCUAUUAAUUCUUCUACCA
rnacentral:lncRNA from 1 species